GGGGGAUUUGGGGAAAUUGCUGCGGAUGGGAAGGGUGGGAUGGAGGCGUCGCCCCUGAGGGUUCCCACAGGGGCCAGGAAGGAGAGCCCACCGGUAGCGCCGUGAUUGCACGGGAUGGUGUCACAGCAUAAUUUCUGUCCGUGUUGUCCCGAUGCUUUAUCCCGAUGCUGGUGAACAUCUAAGGUGCGAGAAGACGGCGCUAAAACCUGGGCUUUUGGCACUAGAAUUGCCAGUCGGUUUCCAUGCUUGGGCAAAUUACAGCUGCUCAUAGGCUCGCAUAAAGAACCCUUAUUUUAGUUUCUACAAAACUUCUGACUCUUGAACUGGUUAACCAACUGAAAAAGGAGAUCAAUAAAUUUGCUCAGCAGUCGAAGGUGCUGAGUACCAACAUCCUGCCAGACAGUGAAAAGGAAGUGCUAACAGUAUAAAUAUAGGGAAGAAGGUAGCCUGGACAUGAGUAAUCCUGUACCUCAUUCUGCACAUUCUGUGGGGCACAGCUGCUGCUCUUAGAAGAGGCAUAUUCAGCAGCAAAUAUUGAAGAAAACAGUGUUCUUCCACAAAAAUCAUGAAAAUGUUUACCUUUAUUCUGAUCCUUUGGCCUGUGAAGAGACCCACUGAUCCAACAGGAAAAAAGAAGGGGAUAUAACACGGAAUGAGCUUCUCCUGGAAAUGAGGGUCCCGUCUCCAUCAGAUCCCUUCUUCUCAUGCUCAUGGAAGGUCCUUCCUGAUCAAGCAGCAUCACUGCAGAAUCUGGCAUUUUUAACCCAACUCGCUACUUUGUGCUGAAACUAACUUCCCUGCACGAAAAUCAAGAAGAAAAGUCAGGUCGACACGAAGACAACAAUAAAAAAUUGAACAAUUACAGAGAGCACAACUCCAGAAUCAGAAGCUGCUUAGGCUCCCUCUGUUUCUAAAGAAGAUUAUGAGGAGGAGGAAGACAACCAAGCUCCACCUGUUUUUGGACCAGAACCUGAGCAUCCAGAAUCAGAAGGAUUGUGAGUGUGGGGGAUCCUGUGACAAAAUACAUUGGACUGGAAAAAAUUGCCAAAGGUUAAGUCCAACCACAGUUCCUUCUCCAGAACCACAGGCCAGGUAUUUUGCUGGUGUAAGAUCAAGUGUGAAGCAAGCUCCAAAUGUGUCCAGAUAGGACAGGGGUUUAGAUCCUUCUGUCUCUGAGUACUGAUCAGAAUUUAUAACAGUGAUCAGAAAGUGUCAUCUAAGAACUUCAUACAGUAAGUGUUUUGCCUUGAGCAAGGAGCAAGACCUGGAAGAUCUCCUGUCCCUCUAAUUCUUGGCACCUCUUUACUAUUUUCUUAUGAAAAAUCUUUUUCUUUUUUUUUUUUUCUUUUUUUCCUUGAAAUAAUAGGGCCCUAGAUAGAUUCAAAUAAGAGAUCUGAGAACGGAGCAAUAAGAGUUCUUGAGGACUCAGCAAGGCAACAUGGAAAAAGAAUGAAAGAUACUACUUUCCAGAUUUUGUAGACAUGCUCCAUGCCCCACCCCAGGCCCCUCAUAGGUUUGGAACUAAAAUAAAUCCAGUGUGGGCAUCUGAGAUUUGUACUAGACCUUCAUGUUGAACCGAAAUAUUCUUUUGGACACACAGCAUGGCAGAGGGCCGGUGGGGUGCUCUUGGCUGAAGAGUAGGUGAUGCCAGGUGUUUUUUAAACACUCCAGGCAGCAGAGACCUCCUGUCUGGGCUGGUAUUCACUUGUAGGAACUCAAUGGCUUCUCCUUUCUUUGCUGCUGUUUUGUUUCCAGGGGUUUCAGAAUGGUCUAUACAGCGACCAAUACUGCCGGAGGAGGCUACAGGAGGAGAGGUAAGUGUUAAUAAUCCCAGAUUUUACAGCUGUUGAGUGUCUUUCCCUCUGGUGUAAGCUGUGGCUGGAGCUUUGAGUUUCCAGGAGAUCUUUCCUGUAAAGCCUGUUCCUACAAAUCAUAGGCUAGCAUCACCCUGCUCAAUCCAUUUUGGACAGCUCUUUGGGGCUACAGCUUAAGAUUUCUGAAAGCUCCUAUCUCUCUGACAGCAAAUACAUCUGAUUCUUCCUGGUAGCUUCCAAUCCCCUUAGAGUACCAUGCUUUGUAACUGUGAUUAGAUAGAAGUCUACCAGGGACUCAGGGCAUAUCCAUAAAAUGCCAUGGAGUGGAUUAUUUCUUUUUAAAGCCAGGAAACAGCUGCAAAUCUAAACUGUUCAAGACUGUUCUCUAGAGUUGCAAAAUCAAAAUUCAACAAGUUAGGAAGCGGUAGGAUUCUGGUUUUUGACGGAUAACCUUAAUGAUCCUUUUAAGAUGGCAUUUUAUCCAUUAUGUCUGUCUCUAUUUGCUUUGUUUUGCCAUCAAGAAGAGCAACAGUUGCAUUUGAAAAAAUGAUCAAACUCCAUAGAAUUCCUAAAGGAUUCCCAGAUAUUUUGUGAUAUUUUCACAGGAACAGAACUACUUCGUGCUUGCAAACCAUGUGUGAAUGGUAAUAGUAGUGAUAAACUAAGGCCAUUGGAAAAGAAUUUAGGUGCAGGAUGUUGUUAGAGCUCUAGGCUUGAUAGCCUAAGAGACCAGUUUUACCAAGCUGACAAGGCAAAAUGUGUCUUGGCCAUGUGUCCUACCUAGCUAGCACCUGAGCUGACAGAGACAUGGGCUGUAAUGUCAGUGACUAAGUUCUGAUGUGUAAUCACAAUGCAGUUUGGCAUAGCUGGUGGGCUCUGUUACUCCAGAAGUGCUCACUCCAUGUUCAUUCUGAUCUCAUCUCAGAUACACUCACUCCAUGCUCAUUCUGAUCUCAUCUCAGAAACACUCACUCCAUGCUCAUUCUGAUCUCAUGCAGCAGACUUCUCAGGUUAAUGGUCUUCAAUGUCAGUUUAGGUGGCCGUAAAGCAAGUGAGUCUCCUCCAAAAGGAAUUAAUUGCCAAUGAACUCCUAGUUGUAAGGAACAAUAAGCACCCCAAUAUUGUUAUCUAUUUAGACAGGUAAGUAGUUCUGGUAUUAUUGAAUGAAUGUUCAUUUAUUUUUGCAAGACAAAGGUUAAAAAUAACCUCUUCAGAUACUGCUGAAGAACUGAGCUUUUUACUUUUAUUUAUCUAUUUGUAUACAAUAUAUGGGAGGAGAAUGAACUUUGUUUGCAUUAAUCUUUUCUGGCAUGCAUCAUUGGAUCAGCCCUAUCUGACUAAAACAACAAUCCCUAAGUUUGUGGUUUUGUUGGUUUGGGGUUUGUUCAGGUUUUUCUUCUUUUUAAGGUGAACAUAUU